AUCCGUGUAGCUGCGCCAGACUCCCUUGUGUACGUCCAUGGCAGUAUGCCUUCAGCUUUUAGUUCCAAUUCUUUGGUAGCCGGGAGACUUUGGUUCAAUCUCAGGGCAUCUCGGUUUGGCCUAAUAUAAAUAUAAAACAUAAGUAGACAUGUAUUGGAUUUACGUUUACAGAAGCGGACUGUAUUACUUCCGUAUAUUCUAGUUAUUACGCCAACCUUGGAAAUUAAAUGUUUCAAUUGGCAGUUAAAGCAAAGGACCAGACGUCAUGACACAAUAAUACACUUCAUUAACCCUUUAAUAUAACCCAAACUACAGUAACAGUGAGUGUGUAUUAUUGGAGUAUAACUUCAUGCACUGCAUUUCAGACGAUCCGAUCUCGAUGGAACUAUGGCUGGAACUAGUCACCGCGCUUGUGGGACUCAUUGGGGCGAUCAUCGUCAUUUAUAACAGGUGUUGCAAGAGGAGCGCCAGGGACAAUCCGGGGGACUGUGCGUGCUGAACAGCCAGACCAACAGUUAUCACCGCCUUGAUUCUAGGAAACACUGAAAACCAACAAUAACACAUUGCACAUGGCCGUGAUACGUGUGUCUUCCGGACUAGCCAAAAUCACCUCGCAAGGAACCAAUAGAGCAAGAAAUGUAAAGCGCAGCUGGCAAUGGGAAGAUAAUAUCAUAGAAUGGACAGGCAUGGCAAUGAGUGAAACAUUAAGAAAACCAUCUGCAGAUACUAGUAACCGAGAAGGAUGGAGAAAACAGCAAGCUAGACUACGGGAUAGAUAUGAGGGGAAACUAGGAUGAGAUUUUGCCACCUGUAGAACGUAGUGUCACUUUAAGCACCAGAAGACUCGACAAACUAUGUUCGAUCUCACUCCAUAAUAGCUUUAGGAAAAUGGAAAUUCUUGAUUACAUCACCACAUGCCCUCUUCUUAUUUUCUUCUGUUUCGUAUAUUAUGUAUUAGUACCUUGAUCAUAUCAACUAGUCGUUCCUGAGCUGCAGUACCUUUACCAUUCACUAGAUGGCGGUUGCAGUACCUUCACCAGUCACUGGGCGGCGCUUCCACAGCACCGUGUCACGGUCAGGUGCGGCCCGUUUUAUAUGAAGAUGACGUGAGAUGCGAUAAAGAUACACGCAAAGGGAACUCAUAUGGCGGUUUGAUAACAAGAAACAAAACGUUAGAAAAAACGUGAAAGAGUUAGUUUUUGUGUUGAAGAAUGUUGAAGUGAGGUUCAAUACUAAAGUACGUCAUCUGCAAAAUGUGUUUGACUGGUCGGUAUAUAUGUAGGGUGUAGUAGUAAAGUCCAAUAUGUGGCAGUCUGGAAACUUCAAAAGUACUGAAAUAUCUAAUGUGAUGUAAGUUUUCUAUUUCUAUAAGUAUUAAUGUUAGGAUGAAUAAUUAUAAACAUAUGAGCGUGUUUUAUAUAUAUAGAGCAGUUGGAUUCUAAUGUAUAUACGUUAAGGAUGUUGUUCCUUUUAUGCCAGAGUGGAAUUCAGUAGAUGUGCUUUCUAUUCUAUUCUAUUCUAUUGUCUUCUUGUCCAUGCCUGACUUAUGAAAUAAAGAAAACUUUUCAAUGA